rnacentral:snoRNA from 1 species
AAGAAUAUACUUUCAGGAAUCAUCUCUACAGUUCAUCACUAGAGAAGUUUCUCUGAUCCUGUAGAGCACCGGAAACCAUGAGAGGAGUCAGAGGGUCAUCUCCUGAGCAUGAAAACUGUUCUGCGAGUUGCUUUUGCAGCUGCCGUUUACCAUUGAUGAUCAUUCUUCUCUUCUCUAGGAGAGGGAGAGGAUGCAGGCUGAG